GAUGAACGCUGGCGGCGUGCCUAACACGUUCAAGUCGAACGGAACUUGAUGAGUAGCAAUACGAAUUAAGUUUAGUGGCGGACGGGUGAGUAACGCGUGAGCAACCUGCCUUUCAAAGCGGGAUAACGACUGGAAACGGUCGCUAAUACCGCAUGAUGUAUAUGAGUCGCAUGUCUUGUAUACCAAAAGGGAACCUGAUGAAAGAUGGGCUCGCGUCUGAUUAGAUAGUUGGUGAGGUAACGGCUCACCAAGUCUGCGAUCAGUAGCCGGACUGAGAGGUCGAACGGCCACAUUGGGAACUGAGAUACGGUCCAGACUCCUACGGGAGGCAGCAGUGGGGAAUAUUGGGCAAUGGGCGAAAGCCUGACCCAGCGACGCCGCGUGAAGGAUGAAGGGUCUUCGGGAUUGUAAACUUCUGGUCUACAGGGACGAACAAAUGACGGUACCUGUAAAAGAAAAGCCACGGGACUAAACUACAGCCG
rnacentral:rRNA from 1 species